UAUAGUUCACUUGAUGAUCACUUCUUACAUGGAUAACUGUGGUAAUUCUAGAGCUAAUACAUGAACUCAAGCCCGACUCUGUGGAAGGGUUGUGUUUAUUAGUUACAGAACCAACCCAGGCUCUGCCUGGACCUUUGGUGAUUCAUGAUAACCCAAUGAAUCGCAUGGCAUCAGCUGGCGAUGAAUCAUUCAAGUUUCUGACCUAUCAGCUUCCGACGGUAGGGUAUUGGCCUACCGUGGCAAUGACGGGUAACGGAGAAUUAGGGUUCGAUUCCGGAGAGGGAGCCUGAGAAACGGCUACCACA
rnacentral:rRNA from 1 species